rnacentral:rRNA from 1 species
GAUGAACGCUGGCGGCGUGCCUAAUACAUGCAAGUCGAGCGAACAGACGAGGAGCUUGCUCCUCUGACGUUAGCGGCGGACGGGUGAGUAACACGUGGAUAACCUACCUAUAAGACUGGGAUAACUUCGGGAAACCGGAGCUAAUACCGGAUAACAUGUUGAACCGCAUGGUUCAAAAGUGAAAGACGGUUUUGCUGUCACUUAUAGAUGGAUCCGCGUCGCAUUAGCUAGUUGGUAAGGUAACGGCUUACCAAGGCAACGAUGCGUAGCCGACCUGAGAGGGUGAUCGGCCACACUGGAACUGAGACACGGUCCAGACUCCUACGGGAGGCAGCAGUAGGGAAUCUUCCGCAAUGGGCGAAAGCCUGACGGAGCAACGCCGCGUGAGUGAAGAAGGUCUUCGGAUCGUAAAACUCUGUUAUUAGGGAAGAACAAAUGUGUAAGUAACUAUGCACGUCUUGACGGUACCUAAUCAGAAAGCCACGGCUAACUACGUG